AAUUUUAUAGGUAGAAAUAACAGCACAUUUGCUUCGAGAAAUAGAUAUUUGCUAUUUGGAUAAUUCUAUUAGAAAUGAGGUGCAACAAUUUUUAUUACAACUUCAUCUUCAUCCUUUAAAAUUUACUGCUGGUAGUUACAUUCUUAACAACAAGUUUUUAACAAUGGUGAGUUAAAUCAGUAUAUAAUUUGACUAAUUAUUUAAGAAUUUAAUUUCUUUUUCAGUUUUUUGGUACCAUAAUCACUUAUGGAGUCGUAUUGGUACAAAUAAGUUCGUCAUCAAUUUCAAAAUGAACUCUUUCAACAAAAUUUUUGAAAAUUAAUGGUUUAUUAUUGGUAAUAUCAUUUGUAAGAAAAAGUGAUAAGAAAACAAUAAUGAGAUUGCUG